UAGAGGAAGUAAAAGUCGUAACAAGGUUUCCGUAGGUGAACCUGCGGAAGGAUCAUUAUCGAACAACAAACAGGGGGACUGUGCUGGCUCCUUCACUGGAGCAUGUGCACGUCUCUCAGCUUCUCACUACACACUUGUGCACCCGCUGUAGGUCCUCGCGAGAGGAUCUACGUCUUCUAUACACCGAGACGUAUGGCCAGAACGUGAAUGAAAAUAAUACAACUUUCAGCGAUGGAUCUCUUGGCUCUCGCAUCGAUGAAGGACGCAGCGAAUCGCGAUAAGUAAUGUGAAUUGCAGAUUUCCAGUGAAUCAUCGAAUCUUUGAACGCACCUUGCGCUCCUUGGUACUCCGAGGAGCAUGCCUGUCUGAGUGUCCCAUGAAUUCUCAAGCCCCACGCUGGUUGACAUUGGCGUGGCUUGGAUGUGGGGGCUGCCGGCGUCGUGAGACAUCGGCUCCCCUGAAAUGCAUUAGCGAAGACCGGCGGGUCUGGACAAGCACGGCCGUCUCGACGUGAUAACGAUCGUCGUCGGCCAGCACGUCUGGGCUCGCGUGCUCGCGGUCGUCUCGCUUCUAACCCCAGCAGAAGAGGUCAGCUCUGCUAGUAGUCGGUCGUGAGGCUGGCGAACGUAGGGCUGGGCUUGGAACGCCCUCGAUGGAAACGGACCUCAGAUCAGGUAGGACUACCCGCUGAACUUAAGCAUAUCA
rnacentral:rRNA from 1 species